rnacentral:rRNA from 1 species
AUAUCAAUAAGCGGAGGAAAAGAAACUAACAAGGAUUCCCCUAGUAACUGCGAGUGAAGCGGGAAAAGCUCAAAUUUAAAAUCUGACAGUUUCACUGUCCGAGUUGUAAUCUGGAGAAGCAUUUUCCGCGUCGGACCGUGUACAAGUUUCUUGGAAUAGAACGUCAUAGAGGGUGAGAAUCCCGUCCAUGACACGGACUACCGAUGCUUUGUGAUAUGCUCUCGAAGAGUCGAGUUGUUUGGGAAUGCAGCUCAAAAUGGGUGGUAAAUUCCAUCUAAAGCUAAAUAUUGGCGAGAGACCGAUAGCGAACAAGUACCGUGAGGGAAAGAUGAAAAGCACUUUGGAAAGAGAGUUAAACAGUACGUGAAAUUGUUGAAAGGGAAACGCUUGAAGUCAGUCGCGUUGGCAGAGACUCAGCCUUGCUUUGCAUGGUGUACUUCUCAGUUAACGGGUCAACAUCAAUUUCAGUUGGUGGAUAAAGGCAUUGGGAAUGUGGCACCUUCGGGUGUGUUAUAGACCUUUGUUGCAUACACUGACCGGGAUUGAGGAAYGCAGCACGCCACUACGGCCAGGGAUUCGUCCCAUGUAACGUGCUUAGGAUGUUGGCAUAAUGGCUUUAAGCGACCCGUCUUGAAACACGGACCAAGGAGUCUAACAUGCCUGCGAGUAUUAGGGUGGAAAACCCUUGUGCGUAAUUAACGUGAAAGUUGGGACCUCUUGCGAGGGCACYGACGCCCGGCCCUGAAGUUUACUGACGGCGCUGCGGUAGAGCAUGUAUGUUGGGACCCGAAAGAUGGUGAACUAUGCCUGAAUAGGGUGAAGCCAGGGGAAACUCUGGUGGAGGCUCGUAGCGAUUCUGACGUGCAAAUCGAUCGUCAAAUUUGGGUAUAGGGGCGAAAGACUAAUCGAACCAUCUAGUAGCUGGUUCCUGC